rnacentral:rRNA from 1 species
GGAAUUGCUAGUAAUCGUGGAUCAGCAUGCCACGGUGAAUACGUUCCCGGGUCUUGUACACACCGCCCGUCACACCAUGGGAGCUGGUAACACCCGAAGUCAGUAGUCUAACCGCAAGGAGGACGCUGCCGAAGGUGGGAUUAGCGACUGGGGUGAAGUCGUAACAAGGUAAC